AAACAGUACGUGAAAUUGCUGAAAGGGAAACGCUUGAAGUCAGUCGCGUUGUCCGGAACUCAGCCUUGCUUUUGCUUGGUGCACUUUCCGGAUGACGGGUCAGCAUCGAUUUUGACCGUCGGAAAAGGGCUGGAGUAAUGUGGCACCUCCGGGUGUGUUAUAGACUCUGGUCGCAUACGGCGGUUGGGAUCGAGGAACGCAGCGCGCCGCAAGGCAGGGGUUCGCCCACUUUCGCGCUUAGGAUGCUGGCAUAAUGGCUUUAA
rnacentral:rRNA from 2 species